CGGGGGCCCCUUCAGGAAAAAAAAAAAGGAUGGUGAAAAUUAAAGGGAAGAGAAUGUUCCUAGUUGGUUUAGGGGACUAAUCAUUUACCCCAGAGGAGGAGGAGGAAGGGCUCUACAAAUCAGUCAAGGAUGCCCACUUCCAGAAGAAAAGUCAUCUUGACAGAGGGAACAUAGAGAACAGAUGAUGGUGACAGCCUGAACAGAGACACACUUCAGAAGGCCGACCUGCCACUGCACCACGGAAUAGGGACACAGUGGUGACCCUGGGACAUACGCUGACCUCCUGGUCUCCAGGAGUUCUACGUGAUAAUCGGCACACGGAGGGCACAUUCUAUAUGGGGGCCGGCCCUCUGCCCCUGGAUGUGCCUCUCCUGCAGCACUGGUUUCUUGCUGCUUCCCACUUCAUGAAGGGAAACAGCCAGAAUCUUCAAGAAAUGCCAAGAAGCUCGUAUCACUUGAGCUUGGAAGCCCUGAUCUCCUGAUCUCUAAGGCGUCGGAAGCCAAGUGUUGCAGAAGGAAGAGAUAGAAGCAGUCGCCGUGGGAGGGUGAGGCUGAGGCUGGCCUUAGCAGUCACUUACUUGGUGGCCGGGUCGUCAUAGGAUGCCACAAACACCAGGGUGCCUUCAUGCAGUGGCCGGAUAAA